GACGAACGCUGGCGGCGUGCUUAACACAUGCAAGUCGAACGGUGAAGCGCCUUCCUUUUUGGUGGGUGUGGAUGAGUGGCGAACGGGUGAGUAACACGUGAGUAACCUGCCCCCUUCUUCUGGAUAACCGCAUGAAAGUGUGGCUAAUACGGGAUAUUCUGGGUCUGUCGCAUGAUGGGUCUGGGAAAGAUAUUGUUUCGGUGGGGGAUGGGCUCGCGGCCUAUCAGCUUGUUGGUGGGGUGAUGGCCUACCAAGGCGGUGACGGGUAGCCGGCCUGAGAGGGUGGACGGUCGGACUGGGACUGAGACCCGGCCCCGACUCCUAGGGGAGGCUGCGGUGGGGAAUAUUGCACAAUGGGCGCAAGCCUGAUGCAGCGGCGCCGCGUGAGGGAUGGAGGCCUUCGGGUUGUGAACCUCUUUCGCCAGUGAAGCAGGCCUGCCUCGUUUGUGGGUGGGUUGACGGUAGCUGGAUAAGAAGCGCCGGCUACCUACGU
rnacentral:rRNA from 1 species